UCCAACUUUCAACGAAUAUUUUAAAAUUAAAAGUUAAAAUGAAUGCUUCAAACUUCAAACUCUUUGUGCUAUUGGUUUGAAUACUGAAUAAGUCAGAGCUAAACAUUUGGGCCCUCAGAUCUAGGACGCGUAGUGGCAAGGUUACCUGCCGCCCAGUGCACUUUUUAAGCCAAAAUCACUGGGCGACGAAGCUCAUAAUACAUCAUCGGUGAAGAGCGCAGCAGGCGGAAAAUCUUUGAUGUUUUAUGGAGAGGAAUUUUGAAAUAAAUAAUAUUUCUUCCGAA